CCUACGGGUGGCUGCAGUGAGGAAUAUUGGUCAAUGGGCGCAAGCCUGAACCAGCCAUCCCGCGUGCAGGAAGACGGCGCUAUGCGUUGUAAACUGCUUUUCCAGGGGAAGAAAACCUGAUACGUGUAUCGGCUUGCCGGUACCCUGGGAAUAAGCAUCGGCUAACUCCGUGCCAGCAGCCGCGGUAAUACGGAGGAUGCGGGCGUUAUCCGGAUUUAUUGGGGUGAAAGGGUAUUAAUAAGUCAUAGGUGAAAACCUGCAGCUUAACUGUAGAAUUGCCAUUGAUACUGUUAGUCUUGAGUACGGUCAAGGUAGGCGGAAUGUGUAAUGUAGCGGUGAAAUGCUUAGAUAUUACACAGAACACCGAUUGCGAAGGCAGCUUACUGGGCCAUUACUGACGCUGAUGCACGAAAGCGUGGGGAGCGAACAGGAUUAGAUACCCUUGUAGUC
rnacentral:rRNA from 1 species